CCUACGGGUGGCAGCAGUGAGGAAUAUUGGUCAAUGGACGAGAGUCUGAACCAGCCAAGUAGCGUGAAGGAUGACUGCCCUAUGGGUUGUAAACUUCUUUUAUAUGGGAAUAAAACGUUCCACGUGUGGGAUUUUGUAUGUACCAUAUGAAUAAGGAUCGGCUAACUACGUGCCAGCAGCCGCGGUAAUACGGAGGAUCCGAGCGUUAUCCGGAUUUAUUGGGUUUAAAGGGAGCGUAGGUGGAUUGUUAAGUCAGUUGUGAAAGUUUGCGGCUCAACCGUAAAAUUGCAGUUGAAACUGGCAGUCUUGAGUACAGUAGAGGUGGGCGGAAUUCGUGGUGUAGCGGUGAAAUGCUUAGAUAUUACGAAGAACUCCGAUUGCGAAGGCAGUUCACUGGACUGCAACUGACACUGAGGCUCGAAAGUGUGGGUAUCAAACAGGAUUAGAUACCCGUGUAGUC
rnacentral:rRNA from 1 species